CCGUAAACGGUGGGCACUAGUUGUGGGAACCUUCCACGGUUUCUGCGACGCAGCUAACGCAUUAAGUGCCCCGCCUGGGGAGUACGAUCGCAAGAUUAAAACUCAAAGGAAUUGACGGGGCCCCGCACAAGCAGCGGAGCAUGCGGCUUAAUUCGACGCAACGCGAAGAACCUUACCAAGGCUUGACAUAUACAGGAAUAUGGCAGAAAUUCCAUAGCCGCAAGGUCUGUAUACAGGUGGUGCAUGGUUGUCGUCAGCUCGUGUCGUGAGAUGUUGGGUUAAGUCCCGCAACGAGCGCAACCCUCGUUCUGUGUUGCCAGCAUUUAGUUGGGGACUCGCAGGAGACUGCCGGGGUUAACUCGGAGGAAGGUGGGGAUGACGUCAAAUCAUCAUGCCCCUUAUGUCUUGGGCUGCACGCAUGCUACAAUGGCUGGUACAAACGGCUGCGAUACCGCAAGGUGGAGCGAAUCCGAUAAAGCCAGUCUCAGUUCGGAUUGGGGUCUGCAACUCGACCCCAUGAAGUCGGAGUUGCUAGUAAUCGUAGAUCAGCAACGCUACGGUGAAUACGUUCCCGGGGCUUGUACACACCGCCCGUCACGUCACGAAAGUCGGUAACACCCGAAGUCAGUGGCCCAACCGUAAGGGGGGAGCUGCCGAAG
rnacentral:rRNA from 1 species